rnacentral:lncRNA from 1 species
AUUUGCAUAAAAAAUUCAUCAAUUUUAAAAUUUUAUAAAAGUGGGCCACUAUUUUAAAGUUUACAUAUUAGACUUGAAUUUUUAGUAAACUAACUAAAAUAUUCUUAUUCCUCUUUUCUCUCUCAUUUUUUUCGCUCGUUUGUUUUUCUCCUUUAGCUCCGGUUAAUCUGUCUCCUUGUCGUUUCUUCCUCUUCUUUUCUUUCCGCUCUUUCUUCUUUCUUCUCCUCCUCCACCUCUCCGCUCUUUUACCUCGUCCACACCUCUGUCAACGCUAGCUCAAAUAUUGUAUAGAUCGCGAAGAUAAGCUUGUGGCAGAGCACAUGGCUGCGAAGAGCAACGGCAACGAGUUACCGAAGAAUUUAAGGAUGACGGGAGAAUGCAUUGGGCCGAGGGAAGGGGCGCGAUACCAAAAAAGAUGUAGAUUGUGGAAGAAAAAAAAAGAAGAAAAAAAAGAAUAAAAAAUAAAAGAAUAAAUUUUUUUUUGUCCUCGCUGUUAUAAGAAAGGCAAAAAAAUCAGAGAACAAAAAAGAACAUUAGGUUGCACUAUUUGAGACAAAAGUUGCAUUAUUUAAAAUAAAAAUUACACUCUUUGAGGCCAAAAUCAUACUAUUUAAGAUGAAAAUUGCAUUCUUUGAGCGAAAGUUGUAUUGUUUGAGUGAAAAUUGCACUGUUUGAAAAUAAAAUUAUAGUUUUUGAAUGAAAGGUGCACUAUUUAAAAUUUUAAAAUAAAAAUUACACUGUUGGACAAGAAAGUUGCACUUUUUAAGCAAAGUUGCACUGUUUGGACGAAAAUUGCACUCUCUGAGGGCAAAAUGUAAUAUUCAAGCGAAAGUUGUACUGUUUGAAAAGAGAGUGCUAUAAUUUUUCUCAAAGAGUGUAGCUUUCGUCUUAAAUAAUAUAACUUUUACUCAAAUAAUAUAACUUUUAUCUCAAACAGUGUAAUUUUCUUCUCAAAUGGUGUAAUUUUCGUUUAAAUGGUGCAACUUUCAUCCAAAUAAUAUAAUUUUCGCCCAAACAGUAUAACUUUCACCUUAAACACUACAAUUUUCUUCUUAAACAAUGCAACUUCAUCUUCUUCUUAUUUGUUCUAUAGUUUUUGACCUUUCUUAUAGUUCCAACAACACAUAAUGGUCUUCUCGGGAAAUUUUUUUUAUUUUUUCUCUUUAUUCUUUCUUCUUUUAUUUUCCUUCCACCCUCUACAUCAUUUUUUGCUAUCGCGCCCCUUCCGCUCUUUGCCACAACCACCGCCCUCGCUCUCUACCGUAGCCACAGCCCUUGCCCGAUGCGCUCUCUCAUUGUCCUUAAAUCCUUUGGUAUUCUUGUCGCCAUCGCCAUCCGUGGCCAUGCGCUCUACCCCAAUCUUACCUCCAUGAUCUAUACCAUAUUCGAGCCGACGUCGACAGAGAUGUGGGCGAGGUAAGAGAGCGGCGUGUGACAUCAAUAUAGGGUCGGUGGAGGAGGGGAAAAGAGAGAAACGAGAGAAAAAUAGGAGAAAGAAGCGAUGAGGAGGGAGAUGAAUUGGAGUGGAAGGAGAAAAACAAAUAAGCGAAAAAAAAGGAGAUGGCGUGACGUCAAUAUAGAGCCAGUGGAGGAAAAGAAGGAGGGAGAGGAAGUAGGAGGAGAAGGAAAGAAGAAAAGAUGACGACGAAGACGAACUGGAGUGGGAGGAGAAAAACGGACGAGCGAAAAAAGGGUAUUUUGAUCAGUUUAUUAAAAAUUCGAAUCAAAUCUAGAAGAUUCAAAAUAGUGGCCCAUUUUUACAAAAUUAAACCAGUGGAUUCUUUAUGCAAAAUGACCUAGAAAAAAUUUAUGUGUAAAAAAUUUUAAAAUUUAAAUAUCUAUAGUGAGAUUUUAAAAAUAUAGUAUAUAAAAUUUAUUUACACACCUGUUGCACGAAACAAAUUCAACUCCAUCAUUCUAUCUUUUUCUUUUUAACUAUGAGAAAUUUUUGUCGGUAACCGGUUUAUUGGUGCAUCACAUGCACCAAAUCUACUUUUAAAAAAUUAACAUUAUAAAAUUAAAAUUUAAUUUGAUAGAUUCCAUCUACACUAUAUAAAAAGCCUGUAUCUAAAAAGUUACAGAGUUUAAAUUUAUACACCCAGAACAAUUUCUUUGCUAUUAUUCUAUUUUAUUAAUUUAUUUAAAUUAUUUUAAUAUUUAUUUUCUCUAAUCUCUUUCACGUAUGUCUUUACAAAAUAAUCUAUUUAUUUAUAAAUUCUUGUACAAAUUUAUAUCGCACAUAUAUCGAUUUAAAUUAUUUGUAUUUACAUUAAUCUAAUUAUUAAUUUUUUAAAAAAUUUUAUUUAACUAAUAAUUAGGGUAAUAAAAUUAUAUAAAAAUAUAAGAUAUUAAUUAAAAUUUAUUAUUAAAAUACUUUAUAUUUGUGGUAUCACGCGAGUCCUUAACUAUAGUAUGAUUUAAAUUUGUGUUUAGAAGUGAAAAUAAGCUAUCAAAGGAUAUUUUAUUCAGUAAAAAUUUUCUAGUAUAAGUGUAAGAAAAGAUUUUAAUUUUUGCUCCUUAAAAUUAUUGGUAUCUAUAAUUUGAUUGAAAAAUAUAUUUGAUUUACGAGGUAAUUUAUUUUAUUCGAAAAAAUGACUUAAAGGUCUUCUUAUAUGUUAUCCAGUUUUAGAUACUUAUCAUGCAUAUUCUUUAUUUACCAAAUAUACAAACUUUUCAAAUAAAUCAAAAAUACAUACCGAAUAAGAUAUUUAUGCAUCCAAACAGAACCUUAAAAUCACAAAUUUUGCUAAAGAAAUAUUAUGUGCGUAAUAUUCUAAUUGCAUGUAGAAUAGUUGGAUCUAUAGAUCCGAUAAGAAUAGUUAGAUCGACAAAUCUGAUCCAAAUAUGUGUGCAAUUCACAAUUGGUAGGACCUAUUACAUCACCUAUCUAU